rnacentral:rRNA from 1 species
CAGCAGUAGCCGCGGUAACACGAAGGGUGCAAGCGUUACUCGGAAUUACUGGGCGUAAAGCGUGCGUAGGUGGUGGUUUAAGUCCGUUGUGAAAGCCCUGGGCUCAACCUGGGAAUUGCAGUGGAUACUAGGUCACUAGAGUGUGGUAGAGGAUAGUGGAAUUUCCGGUGUAGCGGUGAAAUGCGUAGAGAUCGGGAGGAACAUCAGUGGCGAAGGCGGCCAUCUGGGACAACACUGACGCUGAGGCACGAAAGCGUGGGGAGCAAACAGGAUUAGAUACCCCCGUAGUCCCUGUCUCUUAUAC